ACAUGAAAUUUUUAAUGGAGUUUUGAUCCAUAAUAAUCUAUGUACCACAUCUUUUAAUAAAUAUAUUUGUUAGUAUACUGCAUUUGGUUGUAAUUGUAAAUUUUCAUUGUGAUAUUUAUUAGAUUUUAAUUCACAAAGUUACAGUUUAGUUCACAAAAGAUCCUUAAGUCAAGUCUAUGUAAAAAAUUAAAACAGAUGCAAGCACUAAAGAAGACAAUAGCGUUACAAAUUGAAGCAAAAAUUUAUAACGAAUCAUGUUGUCGAUUGGAUAUGAAUCGCAGAAAAGCACGAUUCUCAAAUGGUUAUGAAUCAAAUCUUUGUAUUUUAAUUGCGUAAAUAUAUUUUAAAAUUUAA